CACGUAGGGGGCGAGCGUUGUCCGGAUUUAUUGGGCGUAAAGAGCUCGUAGGCGGCUCGGUAAGUCGGGUGUGAAAACUCUAGGCUCAACCUAGAGACGCCACCUGAUACUGCUGUGGCUAGAGUCCGGUAGGGGAGCAUGGAAUUCCUGGUGUAGCGGUGAAAUGCGCAGAUAUCAGGAGGAACACCGGUGGCGAAGGCGGGUCUCUGGGGCCGUAAACUGGACGCUUGGAGGAGCGAAAGCAUGGGGAGCGAACAGG
rnacentral:rRNA from 1 species